UUGCUAAUAAUGAUAGUAACGUAAAUCGGAAUUUGAUUCUAUAUGCAGUUGCGUUUGGUUGAGCAGAUCUGGAUCUAGCUUUGCUGUUAUGCUUUUUGGGUAUUUUUCUAUAUGUCGCUUACUCAUGAGGUGUUGUUGCUUUGUUACAAAUUGUUUCUUCUAAUUUUUCUGAGCUAGGCUGCACACAGAUCUAAGUGAGUAGGAGUUUGUGUGGACUUUCGUUUUUGUUAAUUAGCCGAAGCUUCUGCUAAUUAUUCUGGCCUUGUGUAUAUAGCCAAUAGUUCCACUCAAGCUCACUCAGAGCGUAGUUUGAGAGGUUUUUUUAUUGUGCUUUUUCCAUUGCAAGCAAGAAUCAACUGUCCUUGAGUUGAGCUGCAACAGUUGAUCAUUCUGAGGAUGGAAAUGGUUGUCAAUUUUUAAGAGAAAAAUGGUCAGCAUUUGGGAGCAUACGUUUUACUGCAUUUGAUGGUGAGGGUAUAUGAUUAUCAGCUUCAAAAAUUCGGAUGGCUGGAUUAGAUUUUUGUAUCUAAGAGACAGUUUGGCUACAUUACAUCUUGAUCAAUGAUCAAUAAAUAAGAAAUUAAGAAGAUGUGAUGAAUUGUGAUCGCGUCACCUAUGUACUGCUCAUCAGGGUACAUAAAUCUGUUGAGGAUUGUAGAUGAUAGUUGCAAGCGAAAGAGAUGGGGAGGAUGCUGGGGCGCAUUUUCUUGUUUUGGUACACAGAAAGGUGGAAAGCGUAUUGUACCUGCAUCUCGUAUUCCUGAGGGCAACGCGUUGGCAGCCCAGCCAAAUGGUCCUCAAGCUGCUGGAUUGAGUAACCAAGCUACAACACUAGCACCAUCACUUCUAGCACCUCCUUCUUCACCAGCAUCUUUUACAAACUCUGCCCUCCCCUCAACCGCUCAGUCACCUAGUUGCUUCUUGUCAUUAUCUGCCAACUCACCUGCUGGUCCUUCAUCCACAAUGUUCACCACUGGGCCAUAUGCCCAUGAGACACAGCUGGUUUCUCCUCCUGUUUUCUCAGCUUUCACGACUGAGCCAUCUACCGCUCCCCUCACUCCGCCACCUGAAUUGGCUCACCUAACCACCCCCUCAUCGCCAGAUGUGCCUUUUGCACAGUUCUUUACAUCAUCUUUGAAUAUCAAAAGCGCUGACAAAACCAGUUAUAUUGCUGCAAAUGAUCUCCCAGGAACAUACUCACUUUACUCUGGAAGUCCUGCCAGCAGUCUCAUAUCUCCUAAAUCCAUGACAUCAGGUGACUGUCUGUCUUCAUCUUUUCCUGAACGGGAGUUCCCUCCGCAGUGGGAUCCUUCGGUUUCCCCCCAAAAUGGAAAAUAUUCAAGGAGUGGUUCUCGCAGACUUCUUGGGCACGAGACCUCUGGUCCCUCUGUGGUAUCUCAAGAUACUAAUUUCUUCUGUCCUGAUACAUUUGCACGAUUCUAUCUGGAUAAUAAUCCACCUUUUCCUCAUACUGCUGGAAGAUUAAGUGUUUCGAAGGAUUCAGAUACUUAUUCUACUGGCGGAAAUGUGUGCCAGAACAAGCCAAAUAAAAUUGCCAAGCAAGAUGUGGAAGAAUUAGAAGCUUACAGGGCAUCAUUUGGGUUUAGUGCCGAUGAAAUUAUCACUACACCUCAAUAUGUGGAAAUUUCUGAUGUUGUGGAGGACUCAUUUACCAUGACUCCUUUCUCAUGUAAUAAAUCAGCCUGGGGAGGAAAUAUAGAACCAGCUUUGGUGAGUGAAAGAGUACAAGGGCAGACUAUGCAAGCAAACUUGCUCAGCCCUGGAAGCAUUAAAUCAGUUUCGGAUUUUGUUGGUGGCCGUGUAUUUUGUGAAGAGACUAAAUCAAUUUGGCGAUCUGGCAGUAUUUCUGGGUUAGGUGUUCCUAGUAACCAUAUUCUGAAUGUUGAAGAGGACUUAUAUUCUAACAUGUCAGCAGCCAAACUCAGUCGAAAAUAUCAUCUAGGUUUAUCGAGCUCUGAUGCAGAAAUUGACUACAGGAGAGUAAGGAGCUUACGAGAAGGCAAAGGAGACGCUUCAUGGCAUGACUAGAUCAUGUGAAAAAGAUAAUGUCAGUCCUAGUUUAUUAUACCAUGGAACAUCGGUUGAAACAUGGCCUUCAGCCAUUCUUCUCGACUCUUUCCAACCAGUUCCAACUUCCAAGAGGUAAAUUGUGUUCCCGGACAAAUUGCCUCAAAAACUGCGGAUGGCUCUGGGCAUUAACUCUCGAGUAGCUGUUCCUCUCUGUCCAAGGGGGAUGGAACACUCUGUUCUAUCGGGAAGAUGACAUGCGUUCUGCUGCACUGAUUGGCGAGUAUGCUGGUAACAUCUAAUGACUAAUGGAAUAUAACUUGUUGCAAGCCCUACAGAAGUUAUCAAUCAUUAGACACAAAAGCAGAGAACGCUGCAAGAUUGUUCAUGGAAGCAGCAAAUCCAAGAGUACAUGUUGUGCUCUCAGUUUAACUCAUGAAAAUGAUGCACAUCUUUCGGAUGGGGUGCCUGCAGGCAGUUUCCACUCUGAUCUGUUUUUGAAAUUUAAAAUAUAGCGCGAGUCCCACACUAUAAAACAGAUGGGAUUGCCCUGCAUGAAAGUGCAUGUAUUUUCUGUAGUUUCCGGACCCUUUUAUGGCUUGUCCAAGUGCUCUAUCAUAUACAGAAGGUACAUGAUUCCAAAGUUAUCAA